ACCUUUCUCUACCUCAAAUCAAAACUGUUACUGCUCUUUAUUUCUUUAAUAUUGGACUUUAUUUCUUUCAGUAAUGGUCUUUUAAUACUGCCCUUAUCGACUACCUUGUCAACAUUGGAAUCCACCUUAUUUCAUCAUCGUCAACACCAAAAAGCCAAACAAUGGCAGAUGGUGGAGUUUGAAAAGAAUAAUUGGGACUCUUUGAAUGGCGAUUGAAGUUCAACUGAUACUCAGACCAUGUUGCUUGAAAGAUCCCAAUAAUGAGGUUUUUCAAUACCGGAAACUGUAGAGGGUUCUUUGUUUCCGGCGGUGGAAUGGACGCAUCAAUCACUAGGUUUGAAGAGGGGUUAUCGCAUAUAUGGUCAGCCUAGGGUUAGGAUGAAGAUGCACUGGCACAGGAGACCACUCCAGUCGAUGAUGAGGUAUUUGAAACACGUUGAAAUUACAAAUGAGGGAUUGACGAGUGAAGAAGGGAAUAAGAGGCUUAAUGUAUUGGCCCUAACAAGCUAGAAGAGAACAAGGCUGUUGCAGAGACAACCCUGGGAUUUAUAAAAGAAGCACCAGCUACUAGAAUUACUGGAUUUAAUGUGUACCAUAAAAAAAGUCCCUACUGGAAAGUAACCGGUGAGGGACAUUCGAAAGGGUAUGGGCAUAGUCAGAGUUCUUGAAGCAAAUUUCACAGAACCGGCACACGACAAGCAAGAUUUUUUGUGUUUUUACGGCUGGAAAUGAAGCUAAAAGUCUAAAACAAAUGCAAUUGAAAUACUGCAAGUCAAGUCUUCUAGGAUUGCUUCGGCAGUUUCAAGGCAAAAGGAUGCUGCUGCUGAGUUGGAUAAAGCACCACAAUGUAUCAAGUGAUGCACAUUUCUUAAAUUAACAAGUGUAGUGUGCAGAUUUAGUUUGUUGUGAUGGGCUUCUUUGGAAAUUCAUGGUGAGCAGUUACCGCCAAACAUCCAGAAAGAAAGGAUAUGCAUAAGUUGCUCUGAAUCAGGUUGAAAUAUUUUCAUGUUGCAAGGAGAUUGUUUAAAUAUGACACAUUACAAGGUGUUCAGAAAGAACGAGUCUUGAGGUUAAUGAACUAGAAAGAACAAAGAAUAUCUUACCAAUGGAAAAAAGUGACAACAUGAACUACAAUACUCAUAGGACCGUAUCUCUGAUGGAAAAAAGUGACAGCAUGAAGAAUUCCAAUGCUGCUAAGAUGGUAUCUCAGAUUUAGCUUCCUUAUUUUAGAGGUGGUCUUAUGUUAACAAAUGAGUCAAAACCAGACAUUUUAGAUGUGGUCAUUAUUUUAAGAAAUGAGUCAAAUGAAGUAAUAUUAUAUCUUCUAACCAGACAGAUGGAAAAUUUCUAAACAGACAAGGUCAAAAGGGCCGAAACCUCAUUUGUAAUUUGUAUGCAUAUCCAUGUCCUUUUAUCUAGAUGAUCAUUUAUAUAGUAAAAUGGCACAAGUUGUGUAAAGUCAUUAUUUAAAGCUCAAAUUGAGAAAGUGAUUAUACUUUGAGAGGUAAUUAG
rnacentral:lncRNA from 1 species